AUAUUUAGUUCCAGAGGAAAGUUUUGAGUUGCGGGGACUCGAAAAUUGGUCCACAAGUUCCAUGUGUGCCACGGCUGAUCCUGAUCUUGUGAUGAAUCUAUAUUGCACAAAGGGCUUAUCUACACAAUGGAUCCAAACUGUCAACAGUCAAUUUAUGAACUUAAAGCGUUUGGAAUGUAUGGAUGGCGGAGAUCCUAAUCGUGUCGUCGUCGCGCCCUGCGACCUAACUGAUGUUGCUCAGAAAUGGCGAUGCAACAAGACAAUUUAUCCGUUGAAAGGAAACAAGGAACUAUCAUUUACGAGAGAUAAUAAACUGUAUCUUGAUUCUUUUGGAGCGACGUGGUACGAUGCAGAGGAUUUCUGCAAAACACCUAUCGAGUAUAAAGG